CAAACUAUAUUGCGUAUGUAAUCAUACUCCCAAUUGAUUUUUCCUUGAAGGUUUUUAGGAACGUUGAAAAGGUUUCUAACCGAGCUCGACCAGAAGGUUCAAUUGCAGAGGCUUACAUUCUUAAAGAGUGUAUUACUUUCUCAUCAUUAUAUCUUGAUGGAGCUGAAACCGCACAUAAUCGAAGGGAAAGAAAUGCAGAUUGUGGUGAAUUUGGCCAAGGGUUGAUGAUUUUCUCACAAACAACUCGACCUACCGGGUCUAAGCAGAAUGAUGUGGGGAUGUCACGAGAAUUGCGUGAUAUUGCUCAAUGGUAUUUGUUGUACAAUUGUCUCGAGUUGGAGCCGUAUUUAGAUGAACACAAAAACACAUUACAUAAUCCAACUGGAGAAGACAUAACUCAAAUACAACGAUGAGAGUUUCCUAAGUGGUUCAAAGAACAUAUCUAUAGAUUGAAAGAGAACGACUCAUCAGAAAUUAUAAAACAAAUGUGGUCAUUAGCAAAUGGUCCUAAGUUGCUAAUGAAAGAAUACUCGGUCUGCAUGGUCAAUGGUGCAAGGUUCCAUACAAAAGACUUGGACAAUCGUCGUGUAACCCAAAAUAGCGAUGUAUCUACAGAAGGGGACCAUGAUGGACAAACACGCGACUUCUAUGGUCAUGUGCGCAAAAUUUGGGAAUUGGAGUAUAUGUAUCAAUAUAAAGUUGUUUUGUUUCAGUGUGAAUGGUACAAUACUGGUAAUAAGACUGGUCGAAGGAGAUCGAUACGAACUGAGACACAUUGCACAAGUAUCAAUGUGCAAAGUCGGUGGUAUCAAAAUGAUCCUUUCAUAUUACCUAGUCAGGCGAAACAAGUUUUCUACCUUCGUGAUACCAAAUGGGGUGAACCUUGGCAUGUUGUGCAAUGCGUACAAUAUAGGGGAGUGUUUGAUGUGCUAAAGGUGGGUCAUAGAGAAUCCAAUGAUCAAACAUAAGCUAAUGAAGCAUUCCCACAAGAAGCCAUUAGCGAUGUUGUCCCUAUUGAUGUUGAAGAUAAUGUAAAAUAUUGUAAGGCUAGUAUUGAAGUUGAAAAUAUUCCAGAAGGUUUGGGAGAGCAAGGGGAUAACAAUGAAGAUGAAGUGCAUAACACACCUGAUUCUGAUAUGGAUCCUGAUAUGGAUUAUGAUACGUAGAUUUCAUUUUUUUUUUUUUUCCCUUUGUAUAUGGAAACGUUUGUUUAAUAAUUUUUGAUUCCCUAUUAUUUGUUCAUGUAUAUUUCUA